AACAAACGCUGGCGGCGUGCCUAAUACAUGCAAGUCGAACGGGGUAGCAAUACCUAGUGGCGCACGGGUGAGGAACGCGUGGAUAAUCAGCCUUAGAGUGGGGGAUAACUAGUGGAAAGAUUAGCUAAUACCGCAUAAGACCACAGGAGCUGUGGCUCUAGGGGUCAAAGGUUUUUCGCUCUAAGAUGAGUCCGCGUAAGAUUAGCUAGUUGGUGAGGUAACGGCUCACCAAGGCGACGAUCUUUAACUGGUCUGAGAGGAUGAUCAGUCACACUGGAACUGAGACACGGUCCAGGCUCCUACGGGAGGCAGCAGUAGGGAAUAUUGCACAAUGGAGGAAACUCUGAUGCAGCGACGCCGCGUGAGUGAUGAAGGCCUUCGGGUCGUAAAGCUCUGUCGCAGGGGAAUAACACAAUGAAUGUACCCUGUAAGAAAGGAUCGGCUAACUUCGUGCCAGCAGCCGCAGUAAGAC
rnacentral:rRNA from 1 species